rnacentral:snRNA from 1 species
UAAGAAACGGUCUCUCCAACG